UCCCUGGAGGAUUACUGGUUAGGCCACGGUGCUCUCUCCGCUGUGGCCCGGGUUCGAAUCCCGGCCAGGGAA
rnacentral:tRNA from 1 species